AGCCAUGCGAGUCAUUGUAGUAAUACAAGGCAGACGGCUCAGUAACGCGUAGUCAACCUAACCUAUGGACGGGAAUAACCUCGGGAAACUGAGUAUAAUGCCCGAUAGAACAUUAUGCCUGGAAUGGUUUAUGUUCCAAAUGAUUUAUCGCCGUAGGAUGGGACUGCGGCCUAUCAGUUUGUUGGUGAGGUAAUGGCCCACCAAGACUAUUACAGGUACGGGCUCUGAGAGGAGUAGCCCGGAGAUGGGUACUGAGACACGGACCCAGGCCCUAUGGGGCGCAGCAGGCGAGAAAACUUUGCAAUGUGCGAAAGCACGACAAGGUUAAUCCGAGUGGUUUCUGCUAAAGGAACCUUUUGACAGUCCUAGAAACACUGUUGAAUAAGGGGUGGGCAAGUUCUGGUGUCAGCCGCCGCGGUAAAACCAGCACCUCAAGUGGUCAGGAUGAUUAUUGGGCCUAAAGCAUCCGUAGCCGGCUCUGUAAGUUUUCGGUUAAAUCUGUACGCUCAACGUACAGGCUGCCGGGAAUACUGCAGAGCUAGGGAGUGGGAGAGGUAGACGGUACUCGGUAGGAAGGGGUAAAAUCCUUUGAUCUAUUGAUGACCACCUGUGGCGAAGGCGGUCUACCAGAAACACGUCCGACGGUGAGGGAUGAAAGCUGGGGGAGCAAACCGGAUUAGAUACCCGGGUAGUCCCAGCUGUAAACCAUGCAAACUCAGUGAUGCAUUGGCUUGUGGCCCAAUGCAGUGCUGCAGGGAAGCCGUUAAGUUUGCCGCCUGGGAAGUACGUACGCAAGUAUGAAACUUAAAGGAAUUGGCGGGG
rnacentral:rRNA from 1 species